GACGAACGCUGGCGGCGUGCUUAACACAUGCAAGUCGAACGCUGAAGCCCUUUCGGGGGUGGAUGAGUGGCGAACGGGUGAGUAACACGUGGGUAAUCUGCCCUGUACUUCGGGAUAAGCCUUGGAAACGGGGUCUAUUACCGGAUAGGACCUGUCCUCGCAUGGGGGUGGGUGGAAAGUUCCGGCGGUAUGGGAUGAGCCCGCGGCCUAUCAGCUUGUUGGUGGGGUAGUGGCCUACCAAGGCGACGACGGGUAGCCGGCCUGAGAGGGUGACCGGUCACACUGGGACUGAGACACGGCCCAGACUCCGACGGGCGGCAGCAGUGGGGAAUCUUGCGCAAUGGGCGAAAGCCUGACGCAGCAACGCCGCGUGGGGGAUGACGGCCUUCGGGUUGUAAACCUCUUUCGGCAUCGACGAAGGGGCCCUGUUGUGGGGUUUUGACGGUACCGUAAGAAUAAGCACCGGCUAACUACGUGCCAGCCGCCGCCGUAA
rnacentral:rRNA from 1 species